rnacentral:rRNA from 1 species
GUGCAGCAGGCGCGAAACCUCCGCAAUACACGAAAGUGUGACGGGGCCAUCCCGAGUGCCGUCCGCUGAGGACGGCUUUUCCCCAGUGUACACAGCUGGGGGAAUAAGGAGAGGGCAAGCCUGGUGUCAGCCGCCGCGGUAAUACCAGCUCUCCGAGUGGUGGGGACGCUUAUUGGGCCUAAAGCAUCCGUAGCCGGCUGGGCAAGUCCUCCGUUAAAUCCAACGAUUCAAUCGUUGGGCUGCGGGGGAUACUGUCCAGCUUGGGGGCGGGAGAGGCCGACGGUAUUCCCGGGGUAGGGGUGAAAUCCUAUAAUCCCGGGAGGACCACCAGUGGCGAAGGCUGUCGGCUAGAACGCGCCCGACGGUGAGGGGAUGAAAGCUGGGGGAGCGAACCGGAUUAGAUACCCCU